rnacentral:tRNA from 1 species
UCCUCUACCAAAGGAGCUAGUCCAAACCAAGACCCCUAACUUCGACCUAGAAAAUCACGAA